ensembl:lncRNA
AUGAUGGGCUGGGUGGUGAUACAUACUGAUGAUUAUCAUCAUCAUGAUGGGGCUGGGUGGUGAUACAUACUGAUGAUUAUCAUUAUCAUGAUGGGGGCUGGACUGUGAUACAUACUGAUGAUUAUCAUCAUCAUGAUGGGGCUGAGUGGUGAUUACUCAUUUAUCAUGAUGGGGCUGGACGGUGAUACAUACUGAUGAUUAUCAUUAUCAUGAUGGGGCUGGGUGGUGAUACAUACUGAUGAUUAUCAUCAUCAUGAUGGGGCUGGGUGGUGAUACAUACUGAUGAUUAUCAUCAUCAUGGGGUCUGGGUGGUGAUACAUACUGAUGAUUAUCAUCAUCAUGAUGGGGGCUGGAUGGUGAUACAUACUGAUGAUUAUCAUUAUCAUGAUGGGGGCUGGGUGGUGAUACAUACUGAUGAUUAUCAUUAUCAUGAUGGGGGCUGGGUGGUGAUACAUACUGAUGAUUAUCAUUAUCAUGAUGGGGCUGGGUGGUGAUAUCUGAUUAUUAUCAUCAUGAUGAGGGCUGGGUGGUGAUACAUACUGAUGAUUAUCAUUAUCAUGUUGGGGCUGGGUGGUGAUACAUGCUGAUGAUUAUCAUGAUGGGCUGGAUGGUGAUACAUACUGAUGAUUAUCAUUAUCAUGAUGGGGGCUGGAUGGUGAUACAUACUGAUGAUUAUCAUUAUCAUGAUGGGGGCUGGGUGGUGAUACAUACUGAUGAUUAUCAUUAUCAUGAUGGUUCUGGAUGUUGAUACAUACUAAUGAUCAUGAUUAUCAUGAUGGGGUUAUGAUGAUACAUACUAAAGAUCAUGAUGGGGUUAUGAUGUUGAUACAUACCGAUGAUUUGGAUUAUCAUGAUGGGGUUAUGAUGUUGAUGCAGACUGAUGAUCAUGGUUAUCAUGAUGGAGUUAUGAUGUUCAGGUUAUAAUGUUUGAUACAUACUCAGGAUCAUGGUUAUCAUGAUAGGGUCUGGGGGGGGUGAUAUAUGCUGAUCAUGAUUCUCAUGAUGGGGUUAUGAUGUUUUGGUAAUGAUGUUUGAUACAUACUGAUGAUCAUGAUUCUCAUGAUGGCGUUAUGAUGUUUUGGUAAUGAUGUUUGAUACAUACUGAUGAUCAUGAUUAUCAUGAUGGGGUUAUGAUGUUUGAUACUAAUGAUUAUGAUUAUAAAGAAUGGGGUUGGUUUUUUAUACAUGCUGUUGAUCAUGAUGGGUUUGGAUGUUGAUACAUACUAUUGAUCAUGGUCAUCAUGAUGGGGUUUGGAUGUUGAUACAUACUGUCAUGAAUAUAGUACUUGGCUUAUCAUGUCUUUACAUAUUAUAAUCAUGAUGAGGUUUAGAAGUUGCUAAUUAUGAUGCUGAUAGAUAGUGAUGAUCAUUAUUAUCAUGAUGUUAUUUAUAAUUGCAACAUGAUGAUGAUGAUUAUGAUUAUAACAUGUUUUUAAAGAUAAAGUUGAUCAUGAAGGUAAUCAAUCUGCUGUUGAUUGCACAAACACUCAAACAGUGUUUUUCAACCUGAUGUGGGCUCACGGGAGAGAUUGCUCACUUGAAUGCUAUAGAUAUUUGAUGACACAUUUAAAAAUGUAAUGGUUAAGGCUUUCAUAAAGGUCCUGUAUAUGCUAACUAAUUGCCUAAUGCAGUAGUUUUCUACCUGUGGUACUCCAGGCGGUACGUGAGAUUUUAUUCUAGAGAUAUUGAUACAUUUACAUAAAGAGAAUAAAUAAUCGAGAUCAUUGAAAGUAAAUAUAUUAUAAAUCUUGUCCCAUAAUUAUAGUUUCAUGGCUUGUUAUUAUUAAAAAUAUAGUGCAGCUUUGUACAUUCCAUCAUAUGCUUUCCAUACCAGUGUUUUCCAUUUAUGUUUUCUGUUCAUUUGUGUUUGCAAAAUAAGCACACAUAAGCAGCGUUGCUGAAUUUAUCUUUACAUUGUCACUGGCUGGGGAAUUCUUGCAGUAAUAAUUUUGUGUAGAGGGUGCCCUGGCACUAUUUGCUCAGCCACUGCCUGUGUAUUUAACCAUCCAUCAUUGUUUGUCAUGAGAAGAUCCGCCAUGGAUCCUGAUGACAAUUCAGUGGUACACCUAAUGUCAAAGGUUGGGAACCACUAGCCUAAAGAAUCUUAGCCCCAACCAAACUACCACUAAUCGCUUGUGUGAUGUCUCGAUGUGCACACGUCUUACAAAAUAUAUAUGUGGCAAAACUGUUGAUCCAAACCAAAUGUUCUCCAUCUCCAUGUGCUCGUGUCUACGCGUGUCUCAGGUGUGGGACCAGUCGUCCGUCUGAGCGUCUGCAGCACCAACACCACCACCACCUCCACCACCACCACCACCGUACUCAGCGCAUCCGCCCUACACCCAGCUCUUGAUCUCUGCAAGUGGGGGGGGGAGGCCGAGGGCGGGAGCGCAGUUACCCCCGGCAACAGCACAGACGGCACGAUGAAACACUGCCACACAAUGUUUUAUCUGAGAGGGAGAGAGCGAGUGAGCGAGAGACACCCACAGGACAAGCUGCUCGUCGAGAGAGCGAGACGACUGCGGUAAAACACAGAUGUCAUUGGAAUCAGGUUGUAUAAUGUCACUAGCUUCACCUGCUGGGUGGUGGUUGACAGGGCGUAACGGGUCUCCCGGCCUUCGGUCGCCCCCUGCAGACGUCAUGAAGGACUCCCAAUAAGCACAGCUGUAGCAACCCUAUUUUAAUAAUACAUACAAGGAAAAAAAACAAUGCCAAAAUGCAAUGGGUUCAUCAGACCAUUAGGCACUUUUAAAAUGCAAGAGGUGGACCCUAAUGAAAGCGAUUCGUAUGAUUUGAGCGUUUUCUAUCCUUCUCCCCGUCCACAAACCGCUGACAGUCGUGUCGGCAGCUCUGUGAGGCUCUUGCUCCAGCCAGGCCCUGACACGGCUCGCACACGCAUCACAGUCAACCUAUCCCAAACCCCCGUCUCCCCCUGAAGACGGCUGUAUGGUUUGGAGACGUUGAAAGGCUUGGCUGGAGCAAAAGCGUCACAGAAUCCCUGCCUUGUUCAUGCCACCCCAACCCCUACCCCAACCAUACCCCACCCUACCCCACCCUACCCUACCCCCCUAUCCUUGGAAGAUGUCUGCCCUGGCAAAAGGCUGCACCGUCCCUCCGCUACAGUCGAACAGGACCUUUCUUAGUCGUCAGAGCGCUCUACUUUGUUUGUACAUAGGCAGACUUAAUUUUAUACGUACUGAGAAGGAAUUUCAAGGCCGGAGAGGCCGUGUCUAUUUUUGUUAAAGAAAACAAAAAGUGAUUGUUAUGUGUCCUCUUGAAUGUCAAAAAUUAAUAUUAUUUUAAAUAUAUAUGUUCCGAUGUCUUUGAAUCAAGUUAGUGAUUUUAUCUUGAAUAUGCACUUCCAUCUGUCAAUGGCGAAUAUAUAUGCUAGCUAUGAGGGAGGGGAACGGGGUAAAACAAAAAAAAUCAUGAGUGAAGCUUACAACAUAGUAGCAUUUCUUUCUGUACCAUGCUCCUCGACAUUGUAUAUAGCCCAAAUUGUUGUUAAAAGUCGAAGAUGAACAUAGUAUUUGUUUUUACUGAAUGAUAAACGGCAUGGGUAUGUAUAUCUGAGGUGAGGGAGAGAGCUGCUUCUGCCUCGUCUAGGGUGUGUCGACACUCUCUCUGAUCACUAAGAAGCACGCUAAUCAAGGGAAGUGACUUUAAGACAUGCAUUGAACGCCCCGAUUCUCUUCUAUUUGAUUCCAGUUUAUCCUGUGCACCUUAGCCACAUGCUGAAGUAAUGCCAUUUUUAUUUUAAUGUAGGCACAAUUCAUUUGAUUCAAUGAAUUGUUAAACGCAGACCAAUUCCCUAAAAAAGAUCUUUGACCCAUGUCAAUCAAUCAAUCAAUCAAUCAAUCAUUCCUAGUAUAUAUAUAUAUACUGUAGUGUCCAUGACAAUGAUCCACCCAAUCACUUAUAAAUUAUCAUCAAAUGAUAUAUUUGAUCUGUAUUUUUUCCUGUUGAAUAUGAAAACGUGAGGUGCCAUUGCUUUAACCAUGCCCUGUGUUUGUACGCCCAACCCCACAACUUUUCAUUUAAUUUCUAGAAGGGAACAUUUUGAAUGUACCAAAGCCUGGAAGACUGACGACCGGUGGUCAACAUGUGUCCGAUCAAAGGCGACCCCAUCACUACAGAUUGCACAACUGCUGUAAUGGUAUUCUGUUAAGACGUCAUUCCUGUAUUUGAAGGGGGGCUAUCCGUUCCCUUAGGUGUCGCUGGGGGGGUGUAAACAGGGGUGUAAACGGAUGUAAAUCUGUUAAGUAUUCUAAUGUAUCUGUUGUCACCCUGCAAGGAGGCUCAGCGACACCCACAAGACUCGGCAUCCCUUUAGUUCAAUUUGUCUUUAUCUUUUCUUUUCGCUCCAUGACAAAAAGCUCGAUAUGAUGUUGAUGUUUGCUGACGGACGUUUUAUUAGCGUCCAUUGUAGAGUUUUUGUCACAGAAUAUAAAAUAUUAUACCCAAUUGUAU